GAUGAACGCUAGCUACAGGCUUAACACAUGCAAGUCGAGGGGUAACGAGAGGAAAGCUUGCUUUCCUUGUCGACGACCGGCGCACGGGUGAGUAACGCGUAUCCAACCUGCCCCCAACUAAGGAAUAACCUUGCGAAAGUAAGACUAAUACCUUAUAAUUUCCUCAGAUGUCAUCUGACGAGGAAUAAAGAUUUAUCGGUUGUGGAUGGGGAUGCGUCUGAUUAGCUUGUUGGCGGGGUAACGGCCCACCAAGGCAACGAUCAGUAGGGGUUCUGAGAGGAACGUCCCCCACAUUGGAACUGAGACACGGUCCAAACUCCUACGGGAGGCAGCAGUGAGGAAUAUUGGUCAAUGGGCGAAAGCCUGAACCAGCCAAGUAUCGUGCAGGAUGACGGCCCUAUGGGUUGUAAACUGCUUUUAUACAGGAAUAAAGUUAGCCACGUGUGGUUAUUUGUAGGUACUGUAUGAAUAAGGACCGGCUAAUUCCGUGCCAGCAGCCGCCGUAA
rnacentral:rRNA from 1 species